UCAAUCAUGUGGUUCAGUCUCUCAUUUGAGUUCGGACCUUGAUGAGACCUUGAUUCCCUAGCUUGAGCUAUCGCCCCAUUAGUGUCAUAGUGUCAGUACACAAGAUACACUUUCCGGUUGGAACCGAAUAGAGAGUUCAUAAAUGAACUUUCCCAUCCAAACAACAUUGUUGUAAGCUUCUAUAUGGCAAUAUAUUUUGCAUUCAUAAUGGAACACACUAAAGUCAUUACUUUUAAUAUUUCCAUCCAAAUAUCUCUUUAGUCAUAAUAAAGAGAUAUAUGAUUAUCUCUUCAUUCAUAAUGAAGAAACAUCCAAUGAUGGAUUAGAUUCAUAAUCUAAUACAUUUACGCUUCCUUUACGUUACUCUAAUUCUUCCUCAUUCUUUGAGGAAUCUAUCCUUCAGUAUUCUUUAAAUACUUAAGGACUCACUUGACAGCUGCCAUGGUUCUGAUCCUGGGCUUGCACUGAUAUCGUCUUGUACCGUUCUAGGUACAACUCAUAUCAAUGGUUUUCAUACAAUAUGAAAUACAUAAAUCCCCUUUAUGCGUAUGCAUAAAGGAUUCUAUUUACGCAUUAUUUCUUUGGGAGUCAAAGAGUACGUUCUCUUUGAGAAGAUCAACUUCUUAGUCUCACUAGAGUUGUCCUAUUGAUUGAAGUUCAUCAUCAUAUGAGAAACUUUCUAUCAUCUUUUGUCUAUUAUUAGGAAUUGAUAUAAUCCAAUUAUAUCCUAAAAAUCUAUCAUUAUAGAUUUCCAUCCCAUGUAUAUAGACUAUGUCUCCCAUAUACAUUCUAUCUUCAUAUAAUGUGUUAAAGUCAUAACUUUAACGAAGAAGAAUUCUUUUCAUUUCCAAAAUUAAUAUAUCAUGUAUAUUAAAUUUUAGGAACAUGAUUAACUCCCACUAAUCUUUUGUAAACCUAGUAAACAAAAGAUUCAUUUACAUCUUUAUGAGAAAUCAAACGAUUUGAUCCUUUUCUCAUAAGAUGCUUUUAGCUCCCACUAGCUUGCUAAGAUUCAUGAUGGAUGGAUCUCUACAACUUACAUGUCUUGUGAUUUAUAGUUUUAGACAUAUAUUAUCAAGACUAUCUUAAUAAUGGUUUCGGAAACCCAUAUUAUGUCCAAACAUUGAAUCACCAUUUAGUUGUAGCUGGCUAUCUUCGAAUUAAUUGAAACCAAGACUACGUCAAAAAUGGUUUUCAAAGUCAACCAUCCUUUUGAUUGUAGUUAACUUAAGCUACCAAUUAGCUUAUGAAUGUUUCAUUAUUUCGGGUCAAAUGGUACUUUACCAUUUCCUUGAGUAUGUAUCGUAUAUACAUUCAAUGUAGUCAUAAGGAUUUUCAUUCUUAUUUCUUUCGAAUUAAGAGGUGCAACUCUAUGACAUAGUCAUAAAGUUCAAACCAUUCAACUGAGACGGUUUAUAAAUCCUUCUUGACUACCUUGGAGCUUUUGGUAUAGGAACUAGGUUGUUAUAUUUGUUGAUUAUUAUCUUGUCUCUCAAAGAACCCAUUCUUUGAGUUCUAUCUUUCAUCCAUUUGCGUUUAGGCAAAUCAUAUUGUAGAAUUACAAUGAACUACCCAACAAACAACAUUUGUUAGUUGGUUUAUAGAAGUGAUAUCCAAAUGUUAAUUUAAGGAUAUCCACAAGAUAAUUCUCAACAAAUAUUGCUUAUUAGCACACAACCCCAAAUCUUAACAUGCUUAAAAUUUGUCUUUCUUUCCAACUACAUCUUAUGGAGUUAUGAAAAAUUUGGAAGAUCUUCUAAUUGACAAUCAUAUUGUUUUUAGAAGUAUAUAUCGUAUAUAUGGGUAAUAGAUAACAUCCAACGAACUAAAUCUUAUUUAAGUUCGUUCUUCUCCUUAAUGGAGAAAUGUAUUAUCUUAUGAUGCUUCUUUCCUUGAUAUCUUUCAAGGAAACUGUUCUAAAGUGUUACCUUAUCUUGGAUCAAAUCUAAGGAGGUAAAUACUUUAGACGUCUUACUCAUCAACUUACAUUACUUGAAUUCUUUGAAACAUUUUGCAAAGUAUUCGGAUUUGUGUUUAUUCAAAAUAAACUAUAAUCCAACCGAGAGUGAUCUUCGGUGAAUGUCAUAUAACAUGAGUAGUAUUAUGUUGUGGACAAGUGCCACUAACAUCUAAGUGAAUUAACCUCAACAACUUUGUGAUUCUUUCUUCUUUCCAAAAGAAUAAAGAUUCGAACAUUUCACCUCUAUACAAUUUUAACAAGAAGGUAUUGGAUCCGGAUCUAAUGAUCCAAAGCAUCCAUCUUUGACCAACUCGUAAUUUAUGAUUUAGAGGUAUCACAAUUUAGUUGAGAUUAGUCACUACCUCGCAACCUUUUGGAUUUUAAGCAUCGUUAUAUUCUAAACAGUUAACACUACCAUAUCAUCUCUACUAUAGAGACAAUCAAUUAG
rnacentral:lncRNA from 1 species